AUUGAACGCUGGCGGCAGGCCUAACACAUGCAAGUCGAGCGAGCGGCGGAGGGGUGAGUAAUGUACGGGGACUGCCCGCUAGAGGGGGAUAAAUCCUGGAAACGGUAGCUAAUAACGCAUACUAUCGGAGCACACAUAUGGGAUUAGCUAGUAGGUGAGGUAAUGGCUCACCUAGGCGACGAUCCCUAGCGGGGCUGAGAGGAUGAUCAGCCACACUGGGACUGAGACACGGCCCAGCCUCCUACGGAGGCAGCAGUGUGGAAUAUUGCACAAUGGGCGCAAUCCUGAUGCAGCCAUGCCGCGUGUAUGAAGAAGGCCCUAGGGUUGUAAAGUACUUUCAGUGGGGAGGCGUUACCUACAGAAGAAGCACCGGCUAACUCCGUGCCAGCAGCCGCGGUAAUAC
rnacentral:rRNA from 1 species